CGGGAAUGUAGACUUCGGUCUUCAUUCUAGUGGCAAACGGGUGAGUAACGCGUAAGUGACCUGUCCCCGGGUGGGGGAUAACCCCGAGAAAUCGGAGCUAAUACCGCAUAAUGCACCUAGGAUAGUACCAUGGUGCCAAAGCCGCAAGGCGCUGGGGGAGGGGCUUGCGUCCUAUCAGGUUGUUGGCAGGGUAACGGCCUACCAAGCCGAUGACGGGUAGCUGGUCUGAGAGGAUGUCCAGCCACACUGGGACUGAGAUACGGCCCAGACUCCUACGGGAGGCAGCAGCAAGGAAUUCUGCGCAAUGGGCGAAAGCCUGACGCAGCAACGCCGCGUGGGUGAAGAAGGCCUUCGGGUCGUAAAGCCCUUUUGUUGGGGAAGAAGCUCUGACGGUACCCAACGAAUAAGCCUCGGCUAACUACGUGCCAGCAGCCGCGGUAAUACGUAGGAGGCAAGCGUUAUCCGGAUUCAUUGGGCGUAAAGAGCGCGUAGGCGGCCUAUUAAGUCGGUUGUGAAAUCUCUCGGCUCAACUGGGAGGGGUCGACCGAUACUGGUGGGCUUGAGGGCAGCAGAGGGAGGUGGAAUUCCCGGUGUAGCGGUGAAAUGCGUAGAGAUCGGGAGGAACACCAGUGGCGAAGGCGGCCUCCUGGGCUGCAUCUGACGCUGAGGCGCGAGAGCGUGGGGAGCAAACAGGAUUAGAUACCCUGGUAGUCCACGCUGUAAACGAUGGGCACUAGGUGUAGGGGGGUAUUGACCCCCCCUGUGCCGUAGCUAACGCAUUAAGUGCCCCACCUGGGGAGU
rnacentral:rRNA from 1 species